rnacentral:snRNA from 1 species
AUCACUUCUUGGCCUUUUGGCUAAGAUCAAGCAUAGUAUUUGUUCUUAUCAGUUUAAAAAGAUCAUCUAUAAUGUCCUUACAAGAGACAUAGAAGAAAAAAUGAGAGAGUUU